CACACCCGACCCGCUGCCCCGAUCCCCACCCCCUCCCUCGAUUCCCUGCGCCGAACACCAGAUCUCGUCGCCGCCCCCACGACCUGUGUUGUCGUCGCCACUCCUCCUCCGCCGUCGAUGCACUCCCUCCCCAUGGCAUGUGCGCUCCCUCCCCUGCCAGGGCGCUCCUUCUCUGCGGCCGGCGCGCUCCCUCCCCGCGGCUGGCAUGCUCACUCCCCGGCCGGCGCGCUCCCUCCCCGCGGUCGGUACGCUCCCUCCCCAGCCCGCGUGCUCCCUCCCUGCGGACGGCGAGCUCCCUCCUCGGACGGCGCGCUCCCUCCCCGCGGCCGGCGCACGCCUGGCAAUUCUCCUUCGCGACCGGCGCGGUCCCUCCCCGCUGCAGCCCGCACCUCCUCCAUAGAUGGCCUGCACCGGCCGCUACAACCCAUCGAGGUGGUGGCCGUCUUCCUCGACCACGAUCCACAUCUGCCUGGGCUUCUAUGGCUGACCUGCCCAAUCGCCGACGGAUUCCUUCUCCAAACAGUACAAUGGCCACUCCCACUCUACCUCCGACCUUCCUUCUCCCCCACACGGCGAAUGUCCUGCUCCCUACCACGCCCAUACCAUUAUUUCUCCCCUGGAUGCAUCUGGUCUCUCUUUAAUUACAGGUCAGCACCAGCGCUGCGAACAAAAAAAGGGCCUUGUGAUAGGGCAUCCAUCUUUUUUCAUCAGGGUCGCCAUCAUCCAUCUGCGUCGAGGCCACCCUGCCAUUGUAAAAUUCUGCUCUCAAAGGUGUCUGUUAUUGUGUAGUUUCAGAAAUCCUUCAGGAAAAAAUGCAAAAGAAAAAUGGAGCAGGAGUCGCAGGCCUCAAGCCCUCUCUCCACUUCGUGGUUUCUUGUUCUCAAAGCACAAGCUGCUACUGCUACUAUUAGUAAACUGCUUCUGCUCACUAUAAUGAGCUGAGGGGCGUUGCCCAACUGCGUGGAUGCUCGCCUGCUCACCGAGCGUCACGAUAGUCCACCCUGAAGCCAUCAGCAGGAGCAGCUUGCAACAGUCCCGCCUCUCCUUCGUCUAGUGCUCCAAGAGGCCAGGGUAGAAAAAUCGGUCAUCUUCUGAUGAGCCCUGCCCCAACAGGAACCUCUCCCUACCUCUCUCAGCUACUGAUGGGCACCAUAGUGUGAAGUUGAUGUAGAGAACAAGUUCUGAUUAUGUGCUCUGUACAUGCUUGUUGAUAUGUCAAUGAGAACCGACUUUUUUUCUUCAGGUUAUUGUGAUGAUGUUUGAUAGUUAAUAUUUUUCGCAAGUACAGAACUCCAGGUUAUGAAA